rnacentral:tRNA from 1 species
CCUGGUGGCUCAGAAGGUAAUGAGUCUGCCUGCAAUGUAGGAGACCCAGGUUCAAUGCCUGCAUUAGGA